UACGAAGGGGGCUAGCGUUGUUCGGAAUUACUGGGCGUAAAGCGCGCGCAGGCGGUCUUCCAAGUCAGUGGUGAAAGCCCGGAGCUCAACUCCGGAAAUGCCAUUGAAACUGUAAGACUUGAGGAUGAGAGAGGUGAGUGGAAUUCCCAGUGUAGAGGUGAAAUUCGUAGAUAUUCGGAAGAACACCAGUGGCGAAGGCGGCUCACUGGACCGGCAUUGACGCUGAGGUGCGAAAGCGUGGGGAGCAAACAGG
rnacentral:rRNA from 1 species